UACGUAGGGUGCGAGCGUUAAUCGGAAUUACUGGGCGUAAAGCGUGCGCAGGCGGCUUUGCAAGACAGAUGUGAAAUCCCCGGGCUCAACCUGGGAACUGCAUUUGUGACUGCAAGGCUGGAGUGCGGCAGAGGGGGAUGGAAUUCCGCGUGUAGCAGUGAAAUGCGUAGAGAUGUGGAGGAACACCGAUGGCGAAGGCAGCCCCCUGGGUUAACACUGACGCUCAGGCACGAAAGCGUGGGGAGCAAACAGG
rnacentral:rRNA from 1 species